rnacentral:rRNA from 1 species
GACGGAAGGUGCAAGCGUUGCUCGGAAUCACUGGGCGUAAAGGGUGCGUAGGCGGCUGUGCAAGUCUGGCGUGAAAGCCCCGGGCUCAGCCCGGGAAGUGCGCUUGAAACUGCGCAGCUCGAGUGCCGGAGGGGAGAGUGGAAUUCCUGGUGUAGCGGUGAAAUGCGUAGAUAUCAGGAGGAACACCAAUGGCGAAGGCAGCUCGCUGGGACGGUACUGACGCUAAGGCGCGAAAGCGUGGGGAGCAACAGG